AGCGAACGCUGGCGGCAGGCCUAACACAUGCAAGUCGAGCGCCCAGCAAUGGGAGCGGCAGACGGGAUAGUAACACGUGGGAACGUACCUUUCAGUUCGGAACAACCAAGGGAAACUUUGGCUAAUACCGAAUACGCCCGUAAGGGGAAAGAUUUAUCGCUGAAAGAUCGGCCCGCGUCUGAUUAGCUAGUUGGUGAGGUAAUGGCUCACCAAGGCGACGAUCAGUAGCUGGUCUGAGAGGAUGAUCAGCACCACUGGGACUGAGACACGGCCCAGACUCCUACGGGAGGCAGCAGUGGGGAAUAUUGGACAAUGGGCGCAAGCCUGAUCCAGCCAUGCCGCGUGAGUGAUGAAGGCCUUAGGGUUGUAAAGCUCUUUCGUCAGGGAAGAUAAUGACGGUACCUGAAGAAGAAGCCCCGGCUAACCUCGUGCCAGCCGCCGCCGUAAUAC
rnacentral:rRNA from 1 species